GACGAACGCUGGCGGCGUGCUUAACACAUGCAAGUCGAACGGAAAGGCCCUGCUUUUGUGGGGUGCUCGAGCGGCGAACGGGUGAGUAACACGUGAGUAACCUGCCCUUGACUUUGGGAUAACUUCAGGAAACUGGGGCUAAUACCGGAUAGGAGCUCCUGCUGCAUGGUGGGGGUUGGAAAGUUUCGGCGGUUGGGGAUGGACUCGCGGCUUAUCAGCUUGUUGGUGGGGUAGUGGCUUACCAAGGCUUUGACGGGUAGCCGGCCUGAGAGGGUGACCGGCCACAUUGGGACUGAGAUACGGCCCAGACUGCUACGGGAGGCAGCAGUGGGGAAUAUUGCACAAUGGGCGGAAGCCUGAUGCAGCAACGCCGCGUGCGGGAUGACGGCCUUCGGGUUGUAAACCGCUUUCGCCUGUGACGAAGCGUGAGUGACGGUAAUGGGUAAAGAAGCACCGGCUAACUACGUG
rnacentral:rRNA from 1 species